CGGCAACUAGAUAACCAGUAAUGUUCAUCUUCAAUUGCUUUAGCAUCCACAACGUUUUGAAGAAUAAUUGGAACUGUUGAAGAAUGAAAAGAACCUUACGCUUUAAAGAUACAGGGGUCAAUAUUCACCUUUAAUACCUGGCAACAACAAGGUGGUACCAGCCUCAAAAUGGACUCUGGAGUCAACACAGAUAAAGGCUAGCAACACAUUGGAAAGGUCCUAAAGCUA